rnacentral:tRNA from 1 species
AUUUAUUUAGUAUAAAAAGUACUUUUGACUUCCAAUCAAAAAGCCUAAUAACUUUUAGAAUAAAUA